rnacentral:tRNA from 1 species
CAGUAAAUAGUUAAAUUUUAAAAUUUUAAUUUUGGAGAUUAAUAAUAAGCGUGGCUUUUUACUGA